UUCCAUGCUACAUCAAAAGACAUUUCGGGGAAAGGAUGUCUUAAUUAACAAUCUUUCAAGAGAAGGUGAGUAUUCGUUAGAUGAUGCAAGCUGUGGUUAAAUAAAACACGAUGAAGAUGGAGGACUCCAGUGACUAAUCACUCCAACCAAAGCCAAAAGCAGAAAAUAGUGACGAUGAAGCCUCACUAAGGUCAUCAUUCGUGAACGUACUCAUAUUUGUUUUA